rnacentral:rRNA from 1 species
UACGUAGGGGGCAAGCGUUGUCCGGAAUUAUUGGGCGUAAAGAGCUCGUAGGCGGUUUGUCGCGUCUGCUGUGAAAACCCGAGGCUCAACCUCGGGCCUGCAGUGGGUACGGGCAGACUAGAGUGCGGUAGGGGAGAUUGGAAUUCCUGGUGUAGCGGUGGAAUGCGCAGAUAUCAGGAGGAACACCAAUAGCGAAGGCAGCUCGCUGGGACGUUACUGACACUGAGAUGCGAAAGCGUGGGGAGCAAACAGG